UACGGAGGGAGCUAGCGUUGUUCGGAAAUACUGGGCGUAAAGCGCACGUAGGCGGCUUUGUAAGUUAGAGGUGAAAGCCCGGGGCUCAACUCCGGAACUGCCUUUAAGACUGCAUCGCUAGAAUCCAGGAGAGGUGAGUGGAAUUCCGAGUGUAGAGGUGAAAUUCGUAGAUAUUCGGAAGAACACCAGUGGCGAAGGCGGCUCACUGGACUGGUAUUGACGCUGAGGUGCGAAAGCGUGGGGAGCAAACAGG
rnacentral:rRNA from 1 species